CCUUCUGGAACAGCAGCAAAUAUGGGAUGGUGACGUACCUGCUGCGAAUGAUGACCAGCUGGGCCAUUGUCUGCAGCGUGUGGUACCUGCCUCCCAUGACUAGAGAGGCAGAUGAAGAUGCCGUCCAGUUUGCGAAUAGGGUGAAAUCUGCCAUUGCCAGGCAGGGAGGACUUGUGGACCUGCUGUGGUAAGUUUAGAGCCAGGCCUUUUCAGCUGAGUUUCUGCAGCAGAUGCUGUAUCAUUGACUUCACUUACAUGUCAUUCCCCCUGGUGUGGAGAAUUAAACUUGUCAGCUCUAGAGAGAGCAGUUUGACUCUCCCCGAAUUCUAACCCAGAAGUGCCCUGUGCUUCCUUGACCUUGGGGAACCUGGAUCAGGGAUGCCUGGACUGAGGCAGUUGAUUCUGUGUACCUUUCUGGGGUUUGAACCAGUCUUCCAGGACACCUGGACAGUACCCAUCUCUGGGUGGGCAUGACCUGCUACUGAUCUGAAAACCUCAAGAAGGAAGGAGGACUUUCCCUGGUCCCAGUGUAUCUGGCAAAAUUGAACCAUUCUUAGAAAGGGAUGGGGGCCUGAAGAGGGAGAAGGUGAAGGACACGUUCAAGGAGGAGCAGCAGAAGCUGUACAGCAAGAUGAUCGUGGGGAACCACAAGGACAGGAGCCGCUCCUGAGCCUGCCUCCAGCUGGCUGGGGCCACCGUGCGGAGUGCCGAUGGGCUCAGAGCUGGAGUUGCUGCCGCCGCCCCCACUGCUGUGUCCUUUCCAGACUCCAGGGCUCCCUGGGCUGCUCUGGAUCCCAGGACUCCGGCUUUCGCCGAGCCGCAGCGGGAUCCCUGUGCACCCGGCGCAGCCUGCCCUUGGUGGUCUAAAUGGAUGCUGCUGGGUGUCGCAACCCAGGAUGAGAUGCCUUGUUUCUUUUACAAUAAGUCGUUGGAGGAAUGCCAUUAAAGUGAACUCCCCACCUUUGCACGCUGUGCGGGCUGAGUGGUUGGGGAGAUGUGGCCAUAGUCUUGUGCUAGAGAUGGUGGGACAAGAGUGUUAUGCAAGCCCAUGUGCCAGGGAU
rnacentral:sRNA from 1 species